UAUCUGCAGUCGAGCGAAAGAAGGGAGCUUGCUCCCGGAUGUUAGCGGCGGACGGGUGAGUAACACGUGGGUAACCUGCCUGUAAGACUGGGAUAACUCCGGGAAACCGGAGCUAAUACCGGAUAGUUCCUUGAACCGCAUGGUUCAAGGAUGAAAGACGGUUUCGGCUGUCACUUACAGAUGGACCCGCGGCGCAUUAGCUAGUUGGUGGGGUAAUGGCUCACCAAGGCGACGAUGCGUAGCCGACCUGAGAGGGUGAUCGGCCACACUGGGACUGAGACACGGCCCAGACUCCUACGGGAGGCAGCAGUAGGGAAUCUUCCGCAAUGGACGAAAGUCUGACGGAGCAACGCCGCGUGAGUGAUGAAGGUUUUCGGAUCGUAAAGCUCUGUUGUUAGGGAAGAACAAGUGCGAGAGUAACUGCUCGCACCUUGACGGUACCUAACCAGAAAGCCACGGCUAACUACGUGCCAGCAGCCGCGGUAAUACGUAGGUGGCAAGCGUUGUCCGGAAUUAUUGGGCGUAAAGGGCUCGCAGGCGGUUUCUUAAGUCUGAUGUGAAAGCCCCCGGCUCAACCGGGGAGGGUCAUUGGAAA
rnacentral:rRNA from 1 species